AUUGAACGCUGGCGGCAGGCCUAACACAUGCAAGUCGAGCGGUAACACAGAGGAGCUUGCUCCUUGGGUGACGAGCGGCGGACGGGUGAGUAAUGCCUGGGGAUCUGCCCGAUAGAGGGGGAUAACUACGGGAAACUGUAGCUAAUACCGCAUAAUGUCUACGGACCAAAGUGGGGGCUCUUCGGACCUCAUGCUAUCGGAUGAACCCAGGUGGGAUUAGCUAGUUGGUGAGGUAAUGGCUCACCAAGGCGACGAUCUCUAACUGGUUUGAGAGAAUGACCAGUCACACUGGAACUGAGACACGGUCCAGACUCCUACGGGAGGCAGCAGUGGGGAAUAUUGCACAAUGGGCGCAAGCCUGAUGCAGCCAUGCCGCGUGUGUGAAGAAGGCCUUCGGGUUGUAAAGCACUUUCAGCGGGGAGGAAGGGUCACUAGUUAAUACCUAGUGGCAUUGACGUUACUCGCAGAAGAAGCACCGGCUAACUCCGUGCCAGCAGCCGCGGUAAUACGGAGGGUGCAAGCGUUAAUCGGAAUUACUGGGCGUAAAGCGCACGCAGGCGGUUUGUUAAGUCANAUGUGAAAUCCCCGAGCUCAACUUGGGAACUGCAUUUGAAACUGGCAAGCUAGAGUCUUGNAGAGGGGGGUAGAAUUCC
rnacentral:rRNA from 1 species